rnacentral:rRNA from 1 species
GCAAGUCGAGGGGUAACAGGAGAAAGCUUGCUUUUUUGCUGACGACCGGCGCACGGGUGAGUAACGCGUAUACAAUUUACCUUAUACUGGAGGAUAGCCUUUAGAAAUGAAGAUUAAUACUCCAUAACAUUAUGAUAUGGCAUCAUAUUAUAAUUAAAGAUUUAUUGGUAUAAGAUAAGUAUGCGUCCUAUUAGUUAGUUGGUAAGGUAAUGGCUUACCAAGACAUCGAUAGGUAGGGGCCCUGAGAGGGGGACC